CGGACGGGUGAGUAACACGUGGAUAACCUACCUAUAAGACUGGGAUAACUUCGGGAAACCGGAGCUAAUACCGGAUAAUAUAUUGAACCGCAUGGUUCAAUAGUGAAAGACGGUUUUGCUGUCACUUAUAGAUGGAUCCGCGCCGCAUUAGCUAGUUGGUAAGGUAACGGCUUACCAAGGCAGCGAUGCGUAGCCGACCUGAGAGGGUGAUCGGCCACACUGGAACUGAGACACGGUCCAGACUCCUACGGGAGGCAGCAGGC
rnacentral:rRNA from 1 species